rnacentral:rRNA from 1 species
GAUGAACGCUGGCGGCGUGCCUAAUACAUGCAAGUCGAGCGAACGGACGAGAAGCUUGCUUUUCUGAUGUUAGCGGCGGACGGGUGAGUAACACGUGGAUAACCUACCUAUAAGACUGGGAUAACUUCGGGAAACCGGAGCUAAUACCGGAUAAUAUUUUGAACCGCAUGGUUCAAAAGUGAAAGACGGUCUUGCUGUCACUUAUAGAUGGAUCCGCGCUGCAUUAGCUAGUUGGUAAGGUAACGGCUUACCAAGGCAACGAUGCAUAGCCGACCUGAGAGGGUGAUCGGCCACACUGGAACUGAGACACGGUCCAGACUCCUACGGGAGGCAGCAGUAGGGAAUCUUCCGCAAUGGGCGAAAGCCUGACGGAGCAACGCCGCGUGAGUGAUGAAGGUCUUCGGAUCGUAAAACGCUGUUAUUAGGGAAGAACAUAUGUGUAAGUAACUGUGCACAUCUUGACGGUACCUAAUCAGAAAGCCACGGCUAACUACGU